UACGAAGGGGGCUAGCGUUGUUCGGAAUUACUGGGCGUAAAGCGCGCGUAGGCGGUGAUCUUUGUCAGAGGUGAAAGCCCGGGGCUCAACCCCGGAAUUGCCUUUGAAACGGGAUCGCUCGAGUCCGAGAGAGGAUGGCGGAAUUCCUAGUGUAGAGGUGAAAUUCGUAGAUAUUAGGAAGAACACCGGUGGCGAAGGCGGCCAUCUGGCUCGGUACUGACGCUCAGGCGCGAAAGCGUGGGGAGCAAACAGG
rnacentral:rRNA from 1 species